CAGGUGUGAGCCACUGCGUCUAGUCUAUGAGUUGUUCACUUUAUCUGCCUAGGGUUCCUUAAGUACAGGGAGAGGACAAGGUAGGAAUAGAUAUACCCUUCGCUGAAAUCAAGACUUUUAAAGACUCACACCAGCCCAGAAUUCAGGGUGGGUAAAUGCACCAAAAAGGUUCUGUGAUGUUCUCUGGUCUGCCUAGAGGCUGACCAUUUUCCCGGCAAAAGUCCCAUUCACUGCCAAUAGCUAAAUGGCCUCUCUUCUCUUUCAGUUGCAAAGUAGCACAAGUACCAACUGUUGGGUGUUUAAAGUCACAACACGAGUAAUAUCUCCCAGCCCUUGCCUGUCUUCCACAGCUCAUAAGCAACCUUCUCAAUCCUGCCCCUAGUUCUAGUAUCUUGCAAAUCAAGGCAGCCCUUACCCUCAUUAGUAGCCAAGCCGAGGUGUGUUCGCAACCCUGUGUAACGGCUCAGGUCUGGCUUAGGAGGAGGUGGAGGUUCAGCAUCUGCAGACUGGCUCUCUGUUAUCUCCAGGCUUCCCUUAGACUUUGUUCUCCUCAGCUCUCCCUGGAUGCCAUUAUCCAUGAUCUUCACAGUUAUCUGCCCAUCUGAAACUUCUGGUCGAAGGAAGGGAGGUCUGAUUACAAUUGUCUUCUCUUUCUUUGGUCUCCCCAAAUACCUAAGUGUCGAGAGAGAGAGAGAGAGAGACACAGCGAGAGAGCUUUCAUUCAUUUAUAUUUUAAAGUAUCUACUGUUUCUGUAAACCAUUUUUAUUAGGUUGGUAAAAAAGUAAUUGCAGUUUUGGCCAUCACUUACUUAGCAAUAAACAGAAUUGAUUCUGUGAAGGACUGCAGCAGGACUAGGCCUUUGUGAGCAGAUACCUAGCUCAAGGAAAGCACUUUAGAGUGUAUCUUAUUCACCCUCAAUUCUCAAAGAUUUACCUUAAUACCUGAAGAAUAUCAAUGGAAUUCACAGUGUCCACUAAAGCAGGGGUCCCCAACCCCUGGGCCGCAGACCAGUACCGGUUCAUGGCCUGUUAGGAACUGGGCCACAUAGCAGGAGGUAAGCAGUGGGCCAGUGAGCAUUAUCACCUGAGCUCCAUCUCCUGUCAGAUCAGCGGAGGCAUUAGAUUCUCUUAGGAGCGCAAACCCUAGAACCCUGUUGUAAACUACACAUGCAAGCAAUCUAGGUUGUAUGUGUGCUCUGAGCUCACUGCAACCUCUGCCUCCUGGG
rnacentral:lncRNA from 1 species